rnacentral:rRNA from 1 species
ACGGAACGGAGCUAUACGAUAAUAUUUGAACCGCAUGGUUCAAAGUAGAAAGACGGUCUUGCUGUCACUUAUAGANUGGAUCCGCGCUGCAUUAGCUAGUUGGUAAGGUAACGGCUUACCAAGGCAACGAUGCAUAGCCGACCUGAGAGGGUGAUCGGCCACACUGGAACUGAGACACGGUUCAGACUCCUACGGGAGGCAGCAGCC